GAGUUUGAUCGUGGCUCAGAUUGAACGCUGGCGGCAUGCCUUACACAUGCAAGUCGAACGGCAGCACGGGAGCUUGCUCCUGGUGGCGAGUGGCGAACGGGUGAGUAAUGCAUCGGAACGUAUCCUGGAGUGGGGGAUAACGUAGCGAAAGUUACGCUAAUACCGCAUAUUCUGUGAGCAGGAAAGCGGGGGGACCUUCGGGCCUCGCGCUCUUGGAGCGGCCGAUGUCGGAUUAGCUAGUUGGUGAGGUAAAGGCUCACCAAGGCGACGAUCCGUAGCAGGCCUGAGAGGAUGAUCUGCCACACUGGAACUGAGACACGGUCCAGACUCCUACGGGAGGCAGCAGUGGGAAUUUUGGACAAUGGGGGCAACCCUGAUCCAGCCAUGCCGCGUGAGUGAAGAAGGCCUCGGUUGUAAG
rnacentral:rRNA from 1 species